rnacentral:rRNA from 1 species
GAUGAACGCUGGCGGCGUGCCUAAUACAUGCAAGUCGAGCGAAUGGAUUAAGAGCUUGCUCUUAUGAAGUUAGCGGCGGACGGGUGAGUAACACGUGGGUAACCUGCCCAUAAGACUGGGAUAACUCAGGGAAACCGGGGCUAAUACCGGAUAAUAUUUUGAACUGCAUGGUUCAAAAUUGAAAGGCGGCUUAGGCUGUCACUUAUGGAUGGACCCGCGUCGCAUUAGCUAGUUGGUGAGGUAACGGCUCACCAAGGCAACGAUGCGUAGCCGACCUGAGAGGGUGAUCGGCCACACUGGGACUGAGACACGGCCCAGACUCCUACGGGAGGCAGCAGUAGGGAAUCUUCCGCAAUGGACGAAAGUCUGACGGAGCAACGCCGCGUGAGUGAUGAAGGCUUUCGGGUCGUAAAACUCUGUUGUUAGGGAAGAACAAGUGCUAGUUGAAUAAGCUGGCACCUUGACGGUACCUAACCAGAAAGCCACGGCUAACUACGUGCCAGCCGCCGCCGUAA